AGUGAACGCUGGCGGUAGGCCUAACACAUGCAAGUCGAACGGCAGCACAGUAAGAGCUUGCUCUUACGGGUGGCGAGUGGCGGAUGGGUGAGGAAUACAUCGGAAUCUACUUUUUCGUGGGGGAUAACGUAGGGAAACUUACGCUAAUACCGCAUACGACCUACGGGUGAAAGCAGGGGAUCUUCGGACCUUGCGCGAUUGAAUGAGCCGAUGUCGGAUUAGCUAGUUGGCGGGGUAAGGGCCCACCAAGGCGACGAUCCGUAGCUGGUCUGAGAGGAUGAUCAGCCACACUGGAACUGAGACACGGUCCAGACUCCUACGGGAGGCAGCAGUGGGGAAUAUUGGACAAUGGGCGCAAGCCUGAUCCAGCCAUACCGCGUGGGUGAAGAAGGCCUUCGGGUUGUAAAGCCCUUUUGUUGGGAAAGAAAAUCAGCAGGUUAAUACCCCGCUGUUCUGACGGUACCCAAAGAAUAAGCACCGGCUAACUUCGUG
rnacentral:rRNA from 1 species